UGGAGGCAGCAGUGAGGAAUAUUGCGCAAUGGGGGAAACCCUGACGCAGCAACGCCGCGUGAAGGAUGAAGGAUUUUGGUCUGUAAACUUCUUUAAUCUGUGACGAAUAAAUGACGGUAGCAGAGGAAUAAGCCCCGGCUAACUACGUGCCAGCAGCCGCGGUAAUACGUAGGGGGCAAGCGUUGUCCGGAUUUACUGGGUGUAAAGGGUGUGUAGGCGGGUAUUUAAGUCAGAUGUGAAAGCCACGGGCUCAACUUGUGGACUGCAUUUGAAACUGGAUAUCUUGAGUGCAGGAGAGGAAAGUGGAAUUCCUAGUGUAGCGGUGAAAUGCGUAGAUAUUAGGAGGAACACCAGUGGCGAAGGCGACUUUCUGGACUGUAACUGACGCUGAGGCACGAAAGUGUGGGGAGCAAACAGGAUUAGAUACCCUGGUAGUCG
rnacentral:rRNA from 1 species